rnacentral:rRNA from 1 species
AAUGAACGCUGGCGGCAGGCCUAACACAUGCAAGUCGAACGCCGUAGCAAUACGGAGUGGCAGACGGGUGAGUAACACGUGGGAACGUACCCUUCGGUUCGGAAUAACUCAGGGAAACUUGAGCUAAUACCGGAUACGUCCGAGAGGAGAAAGAUUUAUCGCCGAGGGAUCGGCCCGCGUCUGAUUAGCUUGUUGGUGAGGUAACGGCUCACCAAGGCGACGAUCAGUAGCNGGUCUGAGAGGAUGAUCAGCCACAUUGGGACUGAGACACGGCCCAAACUCCUACGGGAGGCAGCAGGUGGGGAAUAUUGGACAAUGGGGGCAACCCUGAUCCAGCAAUGCCGCGUGUGUGAAGAAGGCCUGCGGGUU